AACGAACGCUGGCGGCAUGCCUAACACAUGCAAGUCGAACGAGACCUUCGGGUCUAGUGGCGCACGGGUUCGUAACGCGUGGGAACCUUCCCUUAGGUUCGGAAUAACUCCCCGAAAGGGGUACUAAUACCGGAUAAUGUCUUCGGACCAAAGAUUUAUCGCCUUUGGAUGGGCCCGCGUUGGAUUAGCUAGUUGGUAGGGUAAAAGCCUACCACGGCGACGAUCCAUAGCUGGUCGGAGAGGAUGAUCAGCCACACUGGGACUGAGACACGGCCCAGAAUCCUACGGGAGGCAGCAGUGGGGAAUAGUGGACAAUGGGCGAAAGGCUGAUCGAGCAAUGCCGCGUGAGUGAUGAAGGCCGUAGGGUUGUAAAGCGCUUGUACCCGGGAUGAUAAUGACAGUACCGGGAGAAUAAGCUACGGCUAACUCCGUG
rnacentral:rRNA from 1 species